GAGUUUGAUCCUGGCUCAGGAUGAACGCUGGCGGCGUGCUUAACACAUGCAAGUCGAGCGGAGGUUUAAAGCGGAAGUUUUCGGAUGGAAGCAGUAAACCUUAGCGGCGGACGGGUGAGUAACGCGUGGGUAACCUGCCUCAUACAGGGGGAUAACAGUUAGAAAUGACUGCUAAAACCGCAUAAGCGCACAUUGUCGAGUGACAGAGUGUGAAAAACUCCGGUGGUAUGAGAUGGACCCGCGUCUGAUUAGCUAGUUGGUGAGGUAACGGCCCACCAAGGCGACGAUCAGUAGCCGGCCUGAGAGGGCGACCGGCCACAUUGGGACUGAGACACGGCCCAAACUCCUACGGGAGGCAGCAGUGGGGAAUAUUGCACAAUGGGGGAAACCCUGAUGCAGCGACGCCGCGUGAGUGAAGAAGUAUUUCGGUAUGUAAAGCUCUAUCAGCAGGGAAGAAGAAAGACGGUACCUGACUAAGA
rnacentral:rRNA from 1 species